GGCCUACGGGGGGCGGCAGUCGGGAAUAUUGCGCAAUGGAGGAAACUCUGACGCAGUGACGCCGCGUAUAGGACGAAGGUCUUCGGAUUGUAAACUCUUGUCGUUAGGGAAGAGAAAGGACAGUACCUAAGGAGGAAGCUCCGGCUAACUACGUGCCAGCAGCCGCGGUAUUACGUCGGGAGCACGCGUUAUCCGGUUUUAUUGGGUGUAAAGGGUGCGUAGUCGGGAAA
rnacentral:rRNA from 1 species